GGAAAGAUGAUAUCAAUAUGUUGUGUCUAUCGUGUAUUAUUAGAGUAACUGAAAUUGUUUAACGAAUUCGCGCUUAGUUUGCAAUAGAAUAUCCUAUAAAGAAGGCUGUGUAUUUUGACAACAAAACCGAUAAAGGUGUGCCUCUCACCCACGAUUUGGCUCUAGAGGUGUUAAAUGAUGGUAACUAGUCCGAAAGAGAAGAUUUAGAUGGCGAAAAUGAUAUUGCUUUUGACGUUCAGAUGUUUAAAAAUAACACCGAUGACAAGGAUAUUGAAGAAACUGUAUUAGAUGAAGAACCUGUAUUGGAUGAAGAACCUGUUCCUUCAACGAGCUCUUCUUCAACAAAGAGGCAAUGGAAAGACAUGACAUUUCAGCAAAAAAUGUUUGUUCUAUUUUAGUUAUAGGUCUGGAUCCCGCGUAUGAAAAAAAAGUUGAUUAAUAGCAAGCUGAAAAUUUGUUAAUAGCUUAAAGGUGUCUAGUCGAAUAAACUUUGAUAUAUGGGAACACUGAAACAGGGGUAGUUUUAAUUGUGGAACAGGUUAAAAAUUUGGAACGGUUACAGCACGAAAACGGCACAUUUAUUUUGUCCGACAGAACAGACUUAAACUCUCCGAACAGAGAUUAAACUCUCAUGAAAAAAUCAGACUGCUAUUUAUUACCUGUCAUAAUUCCUGUCAUUUGACAUAUUCUACAUGUUCCACUCAUUAAAACGCCCAUUUGGUGAUAAAUAGCAGUCUGAUUUUUGCAUGAGAGUUUAAUCUCUGUUCGAAGAGUUUAAGUCUGUUCUGUCGGACAAAAUAAAUGUGCCGUUUUCGUGCUGUGACCGUUCUAAAUUUUUAACCUGUUCCACAAUUAAAACUACCCCUGUUCCAGUGUUCACACAUAUCAAAGUUUAUUCGACUAGACACCCUUAAGCUAUUAACAAAUUUUCAGCUUGCUAUUAAUCAACUUUUUUUUCAUACGCGGGAUCCAGACCUAUUAGUAUGUAAUAGCACAUUAAACAAUUAUAAAAAUAAUUUUUAUUUGGCCCUAAUGGUGUUUUACGUUUAAUAAAAAUGAAUUUUUUCAUACA